rnacentral:misc_RNA from 1 species
GAUGAAGAACGCAGCGAAAUGCGAUAAGUAAUGUGAAUUGCAGAAUUCAGUGAAUCAUCGAAUCUUUGAACGCACCUUGCACCCUUUGGCUAUUCCGAAGGGCAUGCCUGUUUGAGUAUCGUGAACACCUCAACUCUCAUGGUUUGCCAUGAUGAGCUUGGACUUGGGGGUUUUGCUGGCCUUCGGUCGGCUCCUCUCAAACGGAUCAGCUUUCCAGUGUUUGGUGGCGUCACGGGUGUGAUAACUAUCUACGCCUGUGGUUUUCUGCCAGAUAACCUUCAGCGAUGGAGGUUCGCUGGGGCUCAUAAAUGUCUCUCUUCAGUGGAGACAGCUUUUUGGACGUUUGAUCUCAAAUCAGGUAGGACUACCCGCUGAACUUAAGCAUAUCAAUAAGCGGAGGA